AAUGGCCAUUAUUUAAAACCAUGUCCUCACCUAUUCUUCAACAAUCAUGUACAGAAAAUUCCAAAUAUCCAGGCCCAAUUUACUAACUACAUACUAAUUCAAACUAGCAUUGAAGGUAACAUCACUUUUUGUCACAGUUAAUAGUAAAUGCCAAGGAAAUUCCAUAAAAUUUUCCAAAUGCUUACUUUCCACUACUUGGUCUACUUAAUUUAACCUCUUUGUAACAUGUUAUAGACAUUCUGUGCAAAUGGGAUAAGGGCAUAAGGAAAAAGGCGCAACAUUCAGAAAUUUUAGUAAUGCACAUGUGACCUAUGGCACAUUUACCCCACCCCCUUUCCCUCGUGAACACAACUUAGGCUUCAAAUUUGAUAGAAAAUAAGACAAAAGUAAUGUCGAGUUCACCAAUGUAAACAACAACCAUAUUGAAGUAAAAUCACAAGUUACAUGAUAAGUCCAACUUUAACUAAGACCCUCAAGAAGUCAUUAGACAUUUUUAAUUAAGAGUCAGACCUAUUCUACACCCCUACUCAAUACCACCAAGUGCAACCAUCUCAACCAUCAUGAUUAUUCCCACUCCUACAUUUGA
rnacentral:misc_RNA from 1 species